rnacentral:rRNA from 1 species
CCUACGGGAGGCAGCAGUGGGGAAUAUUGCACAAUGGAGGAAACCCUGAUGCAGCAACGCCGCGUGCGUGAAGAAGGCUCUAGGAGUUUAAAGCUCUGUUAGCAGGGAAGAGGAAGGACGGUACCUGCAGAGGAAGCCACGGCUGACUACGUACCGGCAGCCGCGGUAAUACGUAGGUGGCAAGCGUUGUUCGGAAGAACUGGGCUUAAAGGGUGCGUAGGGGGUUAAACAAGUUAUAUGUUAAAUAUAUAGGCUUAACGUCGAUAAAGCAUAUAAUACUGUUUAGCUAGAGUGCGGGUGAGGUAAGUGGAAUUCCUAGUGUAGCGGUGAAAUGCGUAGAGAUUAGGCAGAACACCAGUGGCGAAGGCGACUUACCGGACUGUAACUGACGUUGAGGCAUGAGAGCAUGGGGAGCAAACAGGAUUAGAUACCCGGGUAGUC